GAAGGAGGGACCGGGAAGGAGGGAGGCGGGCGGUGCCAGCCCCCAGGCAGGAGGAGGAGGCGUCCCCAUGGAGGCUGUACAGCCCCGGGGGGGUGUUUGAGGCUGGGCAGAGCGCAGGGAAGGGUGUUCCAGGUGGCACAAUGAUGAAGAUGCCCACAGCCAUAGGAAAGUCAUAAGGCAAGGCUCCAACUGCUCUGGUGGCUUCUGCAGAGACCAACACAUGGACUUCGGGUCAAGGACUGGGUAAGGGUACCUUUGGGUGCCAGGAACUCCAAGUACUUCAGAGCUGGGCCGUUUAUGAACACCAAGCAGCUCAGCGGGACUUCCCAAAUACCAUGCAGAUCUUUUGUAACUCUUCUGAUAAUUCUGCUAGUUACUCUUUCAGGAACUAAAUAAACGUUCACGAAGGACAACACCAGCAC
rnacentral:lncRNA from 1 species